UUAUUUUCACUAUAUCCACAGCAGUGCUCUAUCUACAGCAGUAGGAGCCAUGCCAAUCAAUACCUGACUGAAAGGAGAAAUUUUGUAUGGGUUUAUUAGAGACUUUUCUCUGGAGACACACUUGUGAAGAAAUGGAGUCAAUAUUUGGAAAAGGGAGAAGCUGACCUGAAUGUAGCGGGAACUGAGCCUUCAACUAACCUCAGCCUGGGGAUCUUUUUGCCAGCAGUUGAUACCAUUCCGAAGAGUGACCAAGAGGAGUACGACCAGUGUUUCCCCAGGAAGCAUGAACAAACAAGAUCCUGAGAGAAGCUACAGUUCUGCUAUAAGAAGCAAGUCAAUCGUGGCAAAUCAAAUAGGAGACCAGAAGACUUUGGUGGGUUAUCUUGUGCUCCACCAAAACCUGAAAUGCAUACACCUCUCUCCAGGUCAGAAUCACU